rnacentral:lncRNA from 1 species
GUCUUAUUUCAAAUUUUUUUUAUAAACUAAAUAGUUAUCAAGCGUUUUCGAAAUCCCAAAACUUGAAAACACUGACAAUGUUAGUUUCCAGGCGCACAGUGGUGAGCAUUCCCAACGGCCCAUCAGCCCUUGCCGUCAAGGAAGCCGCCUGGGGUCUUGCUCGCUACGCUGCAGUCUCACAGGUCUCAACAAAUCAAACUUUUAAUAAUACCCCAUUUUGAUUUAUUAUAACUUGAUUUUGAAUUUGCAAUUUGCAGGACAAUGGGUUGGUUCCGAUCGUCGAGCCGGAGAUCUUGCUUGACGGUGAGCACGGGAUCGACAGAACCUUUGAGGUAGCACAGAAAGUUUGGGCAGAGGUUUUCUUCUACCUUGCAGAGAACAAUGUUUUGUUUGAAGGAAUUCUUUUGAAACCAAGCAUGGUUACUCCUGGAGCUGAGAGCAAAGACAAAGCAAGCCCUCAGACAGUUGCUGAGUACACUCUUUCUCUUCUCAAAAGAAGAAUCCCUCCUGCUGUUCCUGGAAUCAUGGCAAGUCAUUACAACAUAUCUUAAACUUUGAACGCUUAUUACCCUUAGAUGAUAUAAAUUAAAUUUAUCUUCCUCUAUUAACUCAAACUUUUAGAAUAAUUGGUGAUUUAAGAUGGUAUAAAAGGAUGUCAUCUAGAAAGUCAUGCGUAUUAGUUAUUAGCUCAACGUUUUAGGUAUAACGGUGAUUUGAGAAUUAAGUUGAUGAAUUGAAUGUGGGUUGUUUUUCUGUGGUUGUUGUGGAACAGUUUUUAUCAGGUGGGCAAUCUGAGAUAGAGGCUACAUUGAACUUGAAUGCGAUGAACCAAGCACCAAACCCAUGGCAUGUGUCCUUCUCAUAUGCUAGAGCUCUCCAAAACACUUGCUUGAAGACAUGGGGUGGACUACCAGAAAAUGUGAAGAUCGCACAGGAUGCUCUGAUUCAACGAGCCAAGUCGAACUCCCUCGCCCAGCUUGGGAAGUACACCGGUGAGGGUGAGUCCGAAGAAGCCAACCAGGAUAUGUACGUCAAGGGCUACACAUACUAAGCUUUUCUAUAGAUCAAGAAGAUGAAAGAAGAAGAAGAAGAAGAUGAUGAUGGUUGAAGACUAAUUGCUAUGUUUAUUGUGUUUAUGAUGAUGAUGCUUUAUAGCAAUUUAAAAAGAACAAAAAAAAAAAAAACUAUUUUUGUGUAUUCUUAGCAGCUUAAUGAACAUUUUGGUGAUGAUUUUUAGUUUAGUUUGUCUUCUUCUCAAAUCCUAUGUAAGAUGCUUGAAUUCGCAUUAAUCAUGAGCAUAUAUAAUAAGGCUUUUCCUUCGGUCUCAAGAUUU